UACAGUUUCCGAACAGAGGAGGCGGACCUCAUGUGGCAAUUCUUUAUGAGAUGUGCCAAGGGGCGGCUUUUACCUUCCACCUUUAGACAAACGACAACAGUCGGAAAUGGCAUUGAUCACAGACUGCGAUGCCGAAGAUCAUCUCCUGAUAUCAUCCUUCAAGCAUUAGGAAACGCAAGAGCUCAAAAGAGGAUUUUAGAUUUAGUUAAAAAGACGAAAGUUUACAUUUAAAAAUAUUGUUUGUUGUAUAUUCUUUUGUUACACUUAACUUUCGCUAAAAUUACCUAUAAAUAUGAUAUUUAUUGUUGUUUAAUUAUUGAUUAAAAAAUACACACAAGUCGUAUGAAUAACUGGCUAUUCAUUUGUUUUAUCUACGAAUAAGUCAUAGACGAUAUAUAGGAUAAACAAUAAAACACACACUACUGAGGCACUUUUUGGUGUUUAUAACGAUUAAGAAGACAUUUCAUUUCGUUCAUUACAUUUGUAGUUGCGCACUUGUCCUUCCGCUGUUGCUUACCUCCACGAAAGUAUCAACUAUUUACACUUGCCAACUAAAUAUUAAAGUAAGUCUCCAAGUGGUAAAUGCUUUCGGAUCAUCGGUUCAAAUUGUUUGUAGAUACGAUGACGGUUUUUGUGAAAUUUCUGGUUUUGUUUUUCGUUUGUUCUCAGAAAAUUUGGCACUCGGAAUU